GACGAACGCUGGCGGCGUGCCUAAUACAUGCAAGUAGAACGCUGAAGAGAGGAGCUUGCUCUUCUUGGAUGAGUUGCGAACGGGUGAGUAACGCGUAGGUAACCUGCCUUGUAGCGGGGGAUAACUAUUGGAAACGAUAGCUAAUACCGCAUAACAAUGGAUGACACAUGUCAUUUAUUUGAAAGGGGCAAUUGCUCCACUACAAGAUGGACCUGCGUUGUAUUAGCUAGUAGGUGAGGUAAUGGCUCACCUAGGCGACGAUACAUAGCCGACCUGAGAGGGUGAUCGGCCACACUGGGACUGAGACACGGCCCAGACUCCUACGGGAGGCAGCAGUAGGGAAUCUUCGGCAAUGGGGGCAACCCUGACCGAGCAACGCCGCGUGAGUGAAGAAGGUGUUCGGAUCGUAAAGCUCUGUUGUAAGUCAAGAACGGGUGUGAGAGUGGAAAGUUCACACUGUGACGGUAGCUUACCAGAAAGGGACGGCUAACUACGUG
rnacentral:rRNA from 1 species